UACGGGAGGCAGCAGUGGGGAAUAUUGCACAAUGGGCGAAAGCCUGAUGCAGCUAUGCCGCGUGUAUGAAGAAGGCCUUAGGGUUGUAAAGUACUUUCAUCGGGGAGGAAAAAACAAAACUAAUAAUUUUAUUUCUUGACGUUACCCGAAAAAGAAGCACCGGCUAACUCCGUGCCAGCAGCCGCGGUAAUACGGAGGGUGCUAGCGUUAAUCAGAAUUACUGGGCGUAAAGAGCACGUAGGUGGUUUUUUUAAAGUCAGAUGUGAAAUCCCUGGGCUUAACCUGGAACUGCAUUUUGAAACUGAAAUACUAGAGUAUCGUAGAGGGAGGUAGAAUUCUAGGUGUAGCGGUGAAAUGCGUAGAUAUCUGGAGGAAUACCUGUGGCGAAAGCGGCCUCCUAAACGAAUACUGACACUGAGGUGCGAAAGCGUGGGGAGCGAAACAGGGAUUAGGAUACC
rnacentral:rRNA from 1 species